rnacentral:rRNA from 1 species
GACGAACGCUGGCGGCGUGCUUAACACAUGCAAGUCGAACGGAAAGGCCCCAGCUUGCUGGGGUACUCGAGUGGCGAACGGGUGAGUAACACGUGGGUGACCUGCCCUGCACUCUGGGAUAAGCCUGGGAAACUGGGUCUAAUACCGGAUAGGACCGUGCUUUAGUGUGUGCGGUGGAAAGUUUUUCGGUGCAGGAUGAGCCCGCGGCCUAUCAGCUUGUUGGUGGGGUAAUGGCCUACCAAGGCGGCGACGGGUAGCCGGCCUGAGAGGGUGUACGGCCACAUUGGGACUGAGACACGGCCCAGACUCCUACGGGAGGCAGCAGUGGGGAAUAUUGCACAAUGGGCGCAAGCCUGAUGCAGCGACGCCGCGUGGGGGAUGACGGCCUUCGGGUUGUAAACCCCUUUCGGCAGGGACGAAGCUUUUGUGACGGUACCUGCAUAAGAAGCACCGGCUAACUACGUG